rnacentral:rRNA from 1 species
GGGGAAUUUUGGACAAUGGGGGCAACCCUGAUCCAGCCAUUCCGCGUGAGGGAAGAAGGCCUUCGGGUUGUAAACCUCUUUCGGCAGGAACGAAAAGGUGAGGGCUAAUACCCUUUAUCAAUGACGGUACCUGAAGAAGAAGCACCGGCUAACUACGUGCCAGCAGCCGCGGUAAUACGUAGGGUGCGAGCGUUAAUCGGAAUUACUGGGCGUAAAGCGUGCGCAGGCGGUUUUGUAAGACAGAUGUGAAAUCCCCGGGCUUAACCUGGGAACUGCGUUUGUGACUGCAAGACUCGAGUGUGGCAGAGGGGGGUGGAAUUCCACGUGUAGCAGUGAAAUGCGUAGAGAUGUGGAGGAACACCGAUGGCGAAGGCAGCCCCCUGGGUCAACACUGACGCUCAUGCACGAAAGCGUGGGUAGCAAAC